rnacentral:rRNA from 1 species
UACGUAUGGUGCAAGCGUUAUCCGGAUUUACUGGGUGUAAAGGGAGCGUAGACGGUAGUGCAAGUCAGAAGUGAAAGCCCGGGGCUUAACCCCGGGACUGCUUUUGAAACUGUGCAACUAGAGUGCAGGAGAGGUAAGCGGAAUUCCUAGUGUAGCGGUGAAAUGCGUAGAUAUUAGGAGGAACACCAGUGGCGAAGGCGGCUUACUGGACUGUAACUGACGUUGAGGCUCGAAAGCGUGGGGAGCAAACAGG